UGGGGAAUUUUGGACAAUGGGCGCAAGCCUGAUCCAGCCAUGCCGCGUGAGUGAAGAAGGCCUUCGGGUUGUAAAGCUCUUUCAGACGGAAAGAAAUCUCUCAGGAUAAUACCUUGGGAGGAUGACGGUACCGUAAGAAGAAGCACCGGCUAACUACGUGCCAGCAGCCGCGGUAAUACGUAGGGUGCGAGCGUUAAUCGGAAUUACUGGGCGUAAAGCGUGCGCAGGCUGUGAUGUAAGACAGAUGUGAAAUCCCCUGGCUCAACCUGGGAACUGCGUUUGUGACUGCAUCACUGGAGUACGGGAGAGGGAGGUGGCAUGCCGAGUGUAGCAGUGAAAUGCGUAGGUAUGCGGAGGAACACCGAUGGCGAAGGCAGCCGGCUGGGCCAGUACUGACGCUCAUGCACGAAAGCGUGGGGAGAAAACA
rnacentral:rRNA from 1 species